GUCUUAUUGAUUAUAAUUUUAAGUCUAAUCUGCCCAAUGAUUAAUUUAAUGGCUGCAGUAUUUUAACUGUACAAAGGUAGCAUAAUAAUUAGUUCCUUAAUUAGGGACUGGAAUGAAGGAUUGAACGAGAUAAAAAUUGUCUCUUUUUAAAUUUUAUAAUUUUAUUUUUAAGUUAAAAAGCUUAAAUUAUUUUAAAAGACGAGAAGACCCUAUAGAGUUUUAUAAUUUUAUUUUAAUUAAAUAUUAGUAUUUAAAUUUUUUUAAAUAAAAAUUAUUUGAUUGGGGUGAUUUAAAAAUUUAAUAAACUUUAUUAUUUUAAACAUAUAUAAAUGAAUAAUUGAUCCAUAAUUUAUGAUUAAAAGAUUAAAUUACCUUAGGGAUAACAGCGUAAUUUUUUUAGAGAGUUCUAAUCGAAAAAAAAGAUUGCGACCUCGAUGUUGGAUUAAAAUUAAUUUUUGGUGUAGAAGCUAAAAUAUUAGGUCUGUUCGACCUUUAAAAUUUUACAUGAUCUGAGUUUAAAUCGGCGUGAGCCAGGUUGGUUUCUAUCUUUAAUUAAAUAUUAUAUUUUAGUACGAAAGGACCAAAUAUUUAUAAAAUUUAUUUAAUUAUGAUUUAUAUUAAUUAUUGAUUUGGCAGAUUAGUGCUUUAAAUUUAGAAUUUAAAUAUGUAUAUUAUACAUUCAAUA
rnacentral:misc_RNA from 1 species